UACGUAGGUGGCAAGCGUUGUCCGGAUUUACUGGGCGUAAAGAGCGCGCAGGCGGUCGUUCAAGUCGCGUGUGAAAGCCCCCGGCUCAACUGGGGAGGGUCACGCGAUACUGAUCGACUGGAAGGCAGGAGAGGGUAGUGGAAUUCCCGGUGUAGUGGUGAAAUGCGUAGAUAUCUGGAGGAACACCGGUGGCGAAGGCGGCGUUCUGGACUGCAACUGACACUGAGGAACGAAAGCCAGGGGAGCAAACGGG
rnacentral:rRNA from 1 species